CCACGCGUGCCCGGCCCCUUAGUUACUACUGAUAAGAGAAAUUCAAACUCAGAUUCCCGGCCAGCUUUUGGCUUUGUGCUGUGCUGGUCUACCCUUCCCCAAAAAUACUAUUUCUCAAAACCUUACGAUUUCCAAAACCAAUGCCACAACUCUCUCUAUCUGUCUUUCUUCUUACUUCAAAGGCCCCAUUUCAAAGUUCCAGGCACUCAAUGCAUUUAUUACUAGCUUUAAUAUCAUCGAAUCGAGUCGCCCUUUAGGCCAAACUUCCAAACCCUCCCUCCGCACCCAUCUAUUGAGAUUUCGACUUUGGUCUAACAAACUCGCAUCUUGACUCGAGCUCCACAUCGGGGGAACACCAACUCCAAGGUUUUUCUCUUCUGGAAAUGUUUUGUUUUGAUUGGUAGUUCAUCUUAAAUUAGGCCUUCUCUUCUCUGCCUAUUGUAAUAGAAAUCUUUGGUUCGGUUCAGGUAGCUUAUGGGUUAAAGCUUACUGUAACAGCUUAGGUAGUCCUUUUGUUGCUGAAGCAAAAGAUUCAAUCUUGUUUUGGACGUUAUCUGCCUGGGUUAGGAUCCAAGCAUAAAGCAAUGAACUUUAUUUAUUUACUAGGAUACGUGAACCCCUCUUUUGAACUGAUUUAUUAGUUGCUUUUGUGCUUUCCUUUUCUUUUAUUUUUCGAGUACCCAAAACCUUCAAAUUAUUUCCUUAAUCUGGGUUUUUUUUUUUACCAUGAAUCCCGGUUCUACUUGUUACGUAGUUCUUGACUUCUUGUAAACUGAACCCACCGUUGGGAUGUAGGUAAUAUUCGUUUAGUCUUUUUUUAUUUAUUAUUAGUAAAUACACUAAAGCUAUUGCUUGUAGAUCUGCAUCGGUUUAGGGUUUUUUAUUUUUUUAGGCUAUGGAGUAUUCCACCACUAAACCGUCAAAAUCUGCCUCAAAUAUGUCGGAUAAGGUAUCCAGGUUUGCAAAAGUUUGCAAAUUGAGAUCUAUUGGCGUUUUCAGCAGUGAAGACCCUGGUCAUAUUUGUCAUUACAAGGACCCCAACAUCAAUGGUGCCCCAUUGGUUGAGGAUAGCAGUGAUGCAGCCGAUGAGACUGAGUGUGAUGGCACGCAUGUCCAUCUGCAGCCUGCUGAAGUCCAAUGCAAAGGCUACGUAUUUGACGUUGCAGAGAUUCUCAAGUUGUUUGACAUUGUUUCAUCACUCAAAUUGGCUUAUGUUCAGCUUCAGCAAGCUCACAUUCCCUAUAACCCAGAAAAGAUUAUAGCUGCUGAUGAAGUGUUUGUUUCCAAGCUUAAGGCUAUUUGCAAGAUUAGACGUGCUUAUAAGGAGAAGCAAUGCACAAAACCCAAGGUUGAUUAUUCCCGCUUGGAUGGUUUACGAGAAGAAAUUGAAGUGAAUGAGGGAUUGUUAGAGAAGUUGAAGGCGCAGAACAAAGCCAAAGAUGAUAUAAUUGUCCGUUUGGGGAAAGGACUGCAGGAUUUGGAUUUGGGAAAUGCUAUAUUGUCUGAUACGUUUAGACAGGAAAGUUUGGAAAAGAAGAAUGUUAAGGUUUUGAAUGUUGUUACAUUUGAAGAGUCGUUCAAUGCAGCUUCAAAAUCCAUUCAUGAUUUUGGAAAGCCAUUGAUUAACUUGAUGAAGGCUUCUGGUUGGGAUCUAGACGAAGCAGCCGAUUCUAUUGUAGAAGGAGUAGUUUAUGCCCAAAGGUCUCACAAGAAGUAUGCAUUUGAAGCCUACAUUGCUCGAAGGAUGUUUCAUGGACUAACACUUAAAUCUUUUAAUGUGGAUGAUAUUAUGAGAUUUGAUGACCCCAUUGAUGCCCUGAUUAGAUAUUGGGAUUCGGAUUUUGCCAACUUCUGCAGAAAGAAGUAUCUGUUAGUUGUUCAUCCGAUGAUGGAAUUGUCAUUCUUUGGGAAUUUGGAUCAGAGGAUGUUUGUUCUGAGUGGAAAGCAUCCCAGGACACCAUUUUAUCAAAUAUUUGCGAGGAUGGUGAAGUGGGUUUGGGUUCUAGCUGGGAUUGCUGCCUCAAUCGAUCCCAAUGCUAAAAUGUUUGCUGUCUGCAGAGGAAGUGAAUUCUCAGAUGUAUACAUGGAGCCAGCUGAGGUAGAUUGUGAAGGUGCAGUUUCGUGGCAAGGACAACAAAAGAAUCCCAAGGUUGGGCUUAUGAUAAUUCCUGGAUUUAAAAUUGGGGGCACGAUUGUGAAGGCUAGGGUUUAUCUUUCAGGAGUGAAGUAAUGUAUAACACCUGUUUCGUUCUCUAUCCAAAAGCCAGUAAAGUAUGGGGAAGUAGAAUUCAAAAGCUUAAAGAGAUCUGCUUCCCCGAUGUUCUUCAAAUAUUUGGCUGUAUUGUACUUUGUGAAAACAAGUCCUUGCAGAGCUCUCCAUAGAAUCUGCAAACUAAAUCCUUGAAGACUGGGCAGCUGAGAUUCUUCCAACAAUAGAGAAGCUCCUCGACAUCCAUCAAGUCUCUCGUUUUCCCUUCUUCCACAAUCAU